rnacentral:rRNA from 1 species
AGUCUGGCCUGCCCAAUGAUUUUUGAAUGGCCGCAGUAUUUUGACUGUGCAAAGGUAGCAUAAUCAUUAGUUUUUUAAUUGAAAGCUGGUAUGAAAGGUUUGAUGAGAAAAUAACUGUCUCUACGUAAAUGUUUUAUAAUUUCAUUUUUAAGUGAAAAAGCUUAAAUUUUUUAUAAAGACGAGAAGACCCUAUAGAGUUUUAUAUUUUCCUAUUUUUGGUGGUUAAGGAUUUUAUUUUAUUAAUUUUAGUUAAGUAUUUCGUUGGGGCGAUGGAAAAAUUGGGUUAACUUUUUUUUGUUUAUAACAUUGAUUUAUGGGUAUUUGAUCCUUGUUUUUGGAUUAUAAGAUUAAAUUACCUUAGGGAUAACAGCGUAAUUUUUUUUGGAGAGUUCUUAUCGAUAAAAAAGUUUGCGACCUCGAUGUUGGAUUAAAAUUAAAUUUUGGUGUAGAAGCUAGAAUUUUAGGUCUGUUCGACCUUUGAAAUUUU